rnacentral:rRNA from 1 species
UACGAAGGGGGGCUAGCGUUGUUCGGAAUUACUGGGCGUAAAGCGCACGUAGGCGGAUUGUUAAGUCAGGGGUGAAACGUCCUGGAGCUCAACUCCAGAACUGCCUUUGAUACUGAGGAUCUUGAGUUCGGGAGAGGUGAGUGGAACUGCGAGUGUAGAGGUGAAAUUCGUAGAUAUUCGCAAGAACGACCAGUGGCGGAAGGCGAGCUCGACCUG